GCCCUCGUAGCUCAGCUGGAUAGAGCACCGGACUUCUAAUCCGACGGUCGCAGGUUCGAAUCCUGCCGGGGGCA
rnacentral:tRNA from 1 species